ACGCUCGACACCUACUGGAGGCAGCAGUGGGGAAUAUUGCACAAUGGGGGAAACCCUGAUGCAGCGACGCCGCGUGAGUGAAGAAGUAUUUCGGUAUGUAAAGCUCUAUCAGCAGGGAAGAAAAUGACGGUACCUGACUAAGAAGCCCCGGCUAACUACGUGCCAGCAGCCACGGUAAUCUGAGCGGGCUGGCAAGGC
rnacentral:rRNA from 1 species